UACGAAGGGGGCUAGCGUUGCUCGGAAUCACUGGGCGUAAAGCGCACGUAGGCGGACUCUUAAGUCGGUGGUGAAAUCCUGGAGCUCAACUCCAGAACUGCCUCCGAUACUGCGAGUCUUCGAGUCCGGGAGAGGUGAGUGGAACUGCGAGUGUAGAGGUGAAAUUCGUAGAUAUUCGCAAGAACACCAGUGGCGAAGGCGGCUCACUGGCCCGGUACUGACGCUGAGGUGCGAAAGCGUGGGGAGCAAACAGG
rnacentral:rRNA from 1 species